rnacentral:lncRNA from 1 species
GCCUCCACUUGUUGAUAUGUGAACUUGUGAUAGUGAAAUUAAUCCAAACUACGAGAGGGUGAGAACUAAAGCUAGGUAAACUCAUAAUUUUUAAACACAACCCUGGGAUAAUUGAGUGAAAAGAAUAAGUUUGGGGGGUUGUGUAUCUCUCGAGCGAGUAAGGAGACAUUUGACCACUUGGGGUCGGGACUCAAACUCAUCAUGAACUUGAUAUGUUAGCAUGAAUCCACACACACACACGUCAAGUAUGCACUUAACAGGUGAAGGUUGAUGUUAUCUUGCACUGAUAAAUUUUCAUAAAAUCAAUUACUUAGUCCAAUCCUGAGCCAAGGCAAGGUGUUAAGCCAUGUUUGUUCAGAAUUAUAUCACUAUCUUGUUUGAGGACAAACAAUAGUUCAAGUUUGGGGGGUUUGAUAAGUGUGUUUUUGCACACUUAUUUACAUCACAAACAUGACUUAAAUACAGGUAAAUUGAUUUAAUUGUUACUUAACCUUGUCAAAUUCAUGCAAUGUAGGAAAUCCUAUGGAAAUAGUGGAAUUCAGGAGAAAAGAGCCGAAAAAGGACCAAAUUGAAGCAAAGAGAAAAUUCAGGGACCAAAUUGCAAUUAUCUGAAAGUUGAUCCGAUGAACACAUCAAACAAUUGAUCAAGCCAAGCACCAAUUGGAAGUUAUAAGGGACCAUUGGAGCAACUAGGAACAAAAGAGGAGGUCAAGGAGUGAAGGAAUGAAACUUGAGGACCAAAAUGACUCAAACAAAAAAGUAACUCCACUAUGCGGUCGCAUAGUAUAAAACCUAUGCGACCGCGAGUGAACCUCCAAGGAUUAAAAAGG